rnacentral:lncRNA from 1 species
UCUCCUCACUCUUACAAAUGGGACACACCAUAGGAACCUUUCAGGCUUUUUCCUCUACAGGUGGCUCAGUGCGGGGUGAUGCCUAAGCCACUGCAGUCAUAUUCUGGCCUGAGGGAGCCACUGACCCAUGGGGUAAAGCAGAAAGGAAAGAUGAAUGAAGCUGCAUCACUAAUGAUAUUGUGGCCACUGAAUUAAGCUACUCUGGAACUCAUCUCUACUAAAAUUACAAAAGUUUGCUGGGUGUGGUGGGGUACGCCUGUAAUCCCAGCUACUCCACCUUGGCCCGGCAAAGUGCUGGGAUUACAGGUGUGAAGCACCGCGCCCGUCCAGACUAGCCUUUUUAAAAAUAAACAUUCAAGAAUGUUCUAAAAUAGGCCGGGCACGGUGACUCACACCUGUAAUCCCAGCACUUUGGGAGGCUGAGGCAAGCAAAUCACCUGAGGUCGGGAGUUCGAGACCAGCCUGACCAACAUGGAGAAACCCCAUCUCUACUAAAAAUGCAAAAUUAGCCAGGCGUGGUGACACAUACCCGUAACCCAGCUACUCAGGAGUCUGAGGCAGGAGAAUUGCUUGAACCCAGGAGUCGGAGGUUUCGGUGAGCCAAGAUUGCACCAUUGUACUCCAGCCUGGGCAACAAGAGGGAAACUCUUGUCUCAAAAAAAAAAAAAAGUUCUAAAAUAAAAUGUAAAAAACACCACAAUGCCUUUUACCCCUCUCUGUACCACUACCUUCUAUGCAGAAGAUUUCUGACCAUUAUUAGCCUUGGAGGAUUAUCUAAUUAAGGGAGAUGGUAGGAUUCAUUUAGAAUGAAUUCUCCACAUGGGCAAUGAUAUUAUCUAGAAUGAUAAGAAGAAAGACUGAGCCAGGGGCCAAAGUCCUCCAUGAAUAUGUCAGUAGAUGACAGCAAUGAGAAGAGGAUAAAGAUGGUAUAACCAGAUGUACCUGCUUCUAAAGAUUUGGAGUUUUUACAUGAUGGAGGAAGAUGUAUAGUUUGGAAUUGAGAGUGUGGAUUCUGGAAAUACUGAAGCACCCUUCCCCUAACCCCAUGCCAUGAUGUAUGUGGUUGGACACAAGAGGAUUUUCCACCUUACAUGAACACAAGGGAAGCUAUCCUUGAAGGAGAAGUGGGUUUUAGUUAAAUCAGGAGGUAGACAGAUGGUCUAAUGGUACAGUGAAGAGGAACUUACUUAUCAUGGAAGGAAGACUUCUAGCAACUUUGGGGG